rnacentral:rRNA from 1 species
AUACGUAGGUGACAAGCGUUAUCCGGAUUUACUGGGUGUAAAGGGCGUGUAGGCGGGGAUGCAAGUCAGAUGUGAAAUUCCGGGGCUCAACCCCGGCACUGCAUCUGAAACUGUGUCUCUUGAGUGCUGGAGAGGAAAGCGGAAUUCCUAGGGUAGCGGUGAAAUGCGUAGAUAUUAGGAGGAACACCAGUGGCGAAGGCGGCUUUCUGGACAGUAACUGACGCUGAGGCGCGAAAGCGUGGGUAGCGAACAGGAUUAGAUACCCUGGUAGUCCACGCCGUAAACGAUGGAUACUAGGUGUAGGAGGUAUCGACCCCUUCUGUGCCGGAGUUAACACAAUAAGUAUCCCACCUGGGGAGUACGGCCGCAAGGUUGAAACUUAAAUGAAUUGACGGGG